rnacentral:rRNA from 1 species
AUUGAACGCUGGCGGCAUGCCUUACACAUGCAAGUCGAACGGCAGCAUAGAGAGCUUGCUCUCUGAUGGCGAGUGGCGAACGGGUGAGUAAAGCAUCGGAACGUACCGUGUAGUGGGGGAUAACGUAGCGAAAGUUACGCUAAUACCGCAUACGCACUGAGGUGGAAAGCAGGGGAUCGCAAGACCUUGCGCUAUACGAGCGGCCGAUGUCAGAUUAGCUAGUUGGUAGGGUAAAGGCCUACCAAGGCGACGAUCUGUAGCGGGUCUGAGAGGAUGAUCCGCCACACUGGGACUGAGACACGGCCCAGACUCCUACGGGAGGCAGCAGUGGGGAAUUUUGGACAAUGGGGGAAACCCUGAUCCAGCCAUGCCGCGUGAGUGAAGAAGGCCU